GAUGAAGAACGUAGCGAAAUGCGAUAAGUAAUGUGAAUUGCAGAAUUCAGUGAAUCAUCGAAUCUUUGAACGCACAUUGCGCCCGCCAGUAUUCUGGCGGGCAUGCCUGUUCGAGCGUCAUUACAACCCUCAGGCCCCCGGGCCUGGCGUUGGGGAUCGGCGGAGCCCCCCGUGGGCACACGCCGUCCCCCAAAUACAGUGGCGGUCCCGCCGCAGCUUCCAUCGCGUAGUAGCUAACACCUCGCGACUGGAGAGCGGCGCGGCCACGCCGCAAAACACCCAACUCUUCUGAAGUUGACCUCGAAUCAGGUAGGAAUACCCGCUGAACUUAAGCAUAUCAAUAAGCGGAGGA
rnacentral:misc_RNA from 1 species